rnacentral:tRNA from 2 species
AGGGCUGUAGUUAAAUAUAACAGUUGAUUUGCAUUCAAAAAGUAUUGGUUUCCCAAUCUGCCUUA